UACGAAGGGGGCGAGCGUUGUUCGGAAUUACUGGGCGUAAAGGGCGCGUAGGCGGCCGAUCAAGUCAGAUGUGAAAGUCCUGGGCUUAACCUGGGGACUGCAUUUGAUACUGAUUGGCUUGAAUGCAGGAGAGGAUAGCGGAAUUCCCAGUGUAGAGGUGAAAUUCGUAGAUAUUGGGAAGAACACCGGUGGCGAAGGCGGCUAUCUGGACUGUGAUUGACGCUGAGGCGCGAAAGCGUGGGGAGGCAAACAGG
rnacentral:rRNA from 1 species